rnacentral:rRNA from 1 species
CCAAUAGCGUAUAUUAAAGUUGUUGCAGUUAAAAAGCUCGUAGUUGAAUUUCGGGAUCAGUAUGUCGGUCGUGCUUCGGUACGUACUGUCAUUACUGGUUUCUCCCUUCUGUAGAACCAUGAUGUCAUUAAUUUGGUGUCGUGGGAAAUCAGGACUGUUACUUUGAAAAAAUUAGAGUGUUUAAAGCAGGCAUACGCUUGAAUACAUUAGCAUGGAAUAAUGAAAUAGGACGUUUGAUUCUAUUUUGUUGGUUUCUAGGAUCGACGUAAUGAUUAAUAGGGAUAGUUGGGGGCAUUAGUAUUCAAUUGUCAGAGGUGAAAUUCUUGGAUUUAUUGAAGACUAACUACUGCGAAAGCAUUUGCCAAGGAUGUUUUCAUUAAUCAAGAACGAAAGUUAGGGGAUCGAAGACGAUCAGAUACCGUCGUAGUCUUAACCAUAAACUAUGCCGACUAGGGAUCGGAUGAUGUUAAUUUUUUAAUGACUCAUUCGGCGCCUUACG